GCGUGGCAGGUCUCUCCAAUGCAAGUGGUGGAGUCAGGAGAUGCCUCUGAAGGGAGCCAGCUCCUUCCCUCGGGGGGAGGCAGCCCAGGCCUGGAGCAGGCUCCAGGUGCAGGAAAAGCCGAGCAGAGCUGGGAGAUGCAGCCAGAGCAGGGGGAUGGAAGGACGAACAGCCCAGGGCUGAUGCUGGAAAUGCUCUGUGAGUUAUUGGCAGCUGGAAGCUGGGCUGGGAGGAAGGAGCAGCCGGCGAGGACGUGACUCCUUCUGUGCUUUCUGGGAUCCCUCUGCUCCUGGAAACGGUGGAGCUGAGCUGAAACAUUUGGGAAGCCUUCCCCGCUCCAGGACAGGAAGCACUCAGGUGUGAACGUGCUGCUUUUGCCACUUUAUGGAUUAAAAAAGGUAAGAAUAAAUCAACUUAAUUCGUGCAAUGUAGGAGCCAUGUCAGGGAGAGGGGCAGAUUUUUCUUAGUGCAAGAAGAGCCCGGUAUCCUGCUGAUUUUGGGAGGGGAAGGAAGAAGAAGGAGCUGGAGGAACAGCAACUUUCUUAUGUGAAAAUAUUUCCACGCAUUUGUCCUGGGAGAGGUACUGAGGGGGCCCAGCCUUCAGCCACUGCCUCUGCCAAAGUAAAACACACCCAUUAAUUUUAAAAAAAUCAGUAUCAGCAUCAGAAGUGACCCUGGCAAGAGCUGGGGACUCUUCUGGAGCCUGAAUCAGGGGGCAGAGGGGUUGAGGGGGUCCCCAGCAGUUCCUCAGCUCCUGGCUGAGGGUGAGGCAGCUCCGGCAGAGACGCUCCAGGGAUGAGCUGGGAGUGACUCCAGACACUGGAAGAGCUUUUAAGGAGCACUUUGUUAAUAAAUGCACACAAGCAAUGGCUGCUAACAAACACAGGAGCCCUGGGACGCCAGGCCUGCCUGCCCUGCCCGUGUCCCCACAGCCAUUAGGCCCAGCGGGAGACGCGGGAGCGGCGCUGCCGGCAGGAGAGCCACACUCCCACGUCAAGGCAGGAAAACAAAUGCUGAACGGUUUUCUGUGCAGUGUCAGCUCCUUCCCAGCCCUAUCUCAGCAGGUCCAGCAGUGCCUGAGCCUGCUUUACCCCACAGUGGCCUAGCAAAGCCUGAGGAGCCGCCGUGCCCCCCACGCCUGCUGCUGGCCCCUCUCUGUUUGCUCUGAGGUUCCUCGAUCCUUUUCCCAAAUAAUUGUGUUUAAACAUCCCAUACAGACAUGAUGAAGCUGUUCAGGACAGCGGAUGUUGCCAAUGAGGACAACUUCUCUUCAGGUUAAUUAAUCAUUUGUAAGCUGACCUUUGGGGGGAUGAAUUAUUCAUCAGUGCUCCUCAACCAACACAACACAGAAUUUUCAUCCAGCAUUUUUUGUUCAAGCUUUUCCAUUUUUCCAUAGCUGAGGGACAGGGAGAGCCAUGCUCCUGGCUGGCACCUCUGUGUGGGAUGCUCCUGCUUCCCCCCAUUUAAACCACAGCCAGGCUUAGGUUGGACCAAAGCCCAACCACUGCUGCUCUUCCCUACCUGUAUUUCUUCCUUAAAGCCUGGCUGACCUUAAACUCUCUUGAAGACUCCUCUCCAGGAGCUUGACAUUUAAAAGUGCAGUGACAGAAAAUAACUUCGUCUAAAAAUAUGUGUAACUUAUUUACCAGCAACCAGGAGAGGGGGAGAGGAAUUCAAAUGAAGACAUACAUUUACAUCACACCGCUGGCUCUGACUCCUCCUGGGGGAAAAACUGCUCCCUGGGGAUUCCAGGCCUUUCCCCCACACCAAAACCUGGGAAUGGCUGAGUGGGAAUAAGGAGAGAAGGGAGAAAAGGGAUCCAUCCCCAGGUACCUUUCCCCUACAUCCAAACCGGGAACUGGCUGAGCAGGAGCAGGGAUAAGGAGAAAAAGGAUUCUCAUGCGCCUUUCCCCACAUCCAAACCGGGAAGUGCCUGAGCAGAAAUAGGGAGAAGAGGGAUCUCCAUAUGCCUUUCCCCACAUCCAAACCCAGGACUGGCUGAGCAGGAGCAGGGACAAGGAGAAAAGGAAUCCAUCCCCAGGCACCUUUCCCCCACAUCCAAACCUGGGACUGGCUGAGCAGGGACAAGGAGAAAAGGGAUCCCCAUGUGCCUCUCCCCCACAUCCAAACCUGGAAGUGCCUCAGCAGAAACAGGGAUGAAGGGAAAAGGGAUCCAUCCCCAUCCACCUUUCCCCCACAUCCAAACCCCGGACUGGCUGAGCAGGAACAGGGACAAGGAGAAAAAGGAUUCCCAUGUACCCUCCCAGGCUGCAGGGAGGGGCAAGACUCCAGUUUUGGGGUAGCCAAGGAGCUGAUUUAACAUCCCACAGCCUCCAAAAGUGGGAUGCAGGAAAAGAGAAGCCACUGUUUAUUGGGAGAACAUCCCGUGCAUCAUUCUUUGUCAGAUUACAGAAAUGAAGAAGGAAAAGAGAGAGAGAAAAGAAAUCAAGGACAAAACGCAGCACAAAUCCGGGAGCUCAGUACUUGGAAACCUGCUCAUUUCCACAGGGAAAAGCCUUCUCCACCCCAAGUCCCCCCAGGAGAGAGCAGCUCCUGCCCAAACAGGCUCCUCACCCCCUUCCCCACCCAAAACUCCAGCGCAGCCCUGGGGGAUUCUCCUGAACGGGAGGCGUUCAUGUAUCUUUAAUUAUUGUUUCAGCCACAUAAAUCCAUGCAGAAUUAAAAUUCAUGAUGGUUCUAGGGUACAAGUGCAAACAAUUUGUUCGGUAAACUUUGCUCUAAUUGGCAUUCUGAAAAUUUCCUGUUAAUCGAGCCCCCUGGGCUCGGUUUACCAGUGUAGCUGUGCCUGGGAAUGUCGGUGCUUGGAGGGUGCACACGCCAGCGCCGUUUUCAAGGGUCUUUAGACGAUAUUAACUCACACACUUUGUCCUCACGUUAAUUUGCAAGUAAUUCUUUAACAACCUUCCGUGGCCCUGUCUUUUAUCUCGCUGCUUCAUUACUCCAGGCGAGCGAGAGCGUUUGUUAAACCUGAGACUAAAUCGCGCCGGGAAACAGCCGGGAGCCGAGCGUGGAACAUCCCCGAGGGCAGCUGGAAUUCCUCCCUCUGGGAGACGCCUUUCCAGCAGCUCUUGACUCCACGUGGCCACAGGAGACACAAAAAGAUGUUUGUGCCAGCACGGGAACCUCAGGAGUGUGAGGCAGGGACCCCAAAAACAGGGACAAGGAGGUGGGGUCACCUUGGUCCUCCUGAGCCGGGGAUAUGAAGGUCCUGAAGAGCCAAGGCAUGGGCAGAGCUGCUUUCCCAGCCCAUCUCCAUGUGCAUGCAGAACAACAGGAGAUGCCAGAGCCCCACUUCCCACACGCGAUCCAACACGGGAAAAUUGGCCAGCUCUGGAUCCCUUUCCCCCAGGGAACUCCUUCUGCGCUCAGUCCCAACCCCGGGUCACCGCCGGGAGGAUUGCAGGAGCUUUCAGCCACCCCCUCCCUUCAGCUCUGCAGCGUUAUCAGGCCAGCCCUUAACUGGCAUCCCAAGAGAUUGGGGAAUAGGAGAAGCUUUGGAUCACCUGAGCGUCCCUUCCCAGCGGCACAGCGAGGCGGGCUGAUAGAAAUAACAAAAUAAUGAGCAGCUGACAGCCAUCAGGGCUGUGCUGGAGGAGCUCUCCUGGAUGGGAAUGUGCAAUCAGGAAAGGCAGGAGAACUGGCAGCUCCCAGAAGACGCCAAAGAUGGUGCACAACAACAAACUGCUUCCCGGGAAAGCUGAUAAGGAGCAUAAUUAGAUGGCAUUACAGCGGCAGCGGGGCCUGGAAGCAGGGAAGAAUCGUGUGGAGAGUGGGAACAGGCACAUUCCUGGGGGAAAAAGAGGGAUAAUACGGGUUCACACACAGUGGGAGCUGCUCACAAGGUUUUGGAGGCAACCAGAAGGGCCUGCAGAUAAAUCAGAUGUAAAAUGAGAACAGGAAGAUGUGGAGGGCCCUGAAUGCCUGGGGAGGGAGAACGGACCGAGCGUUCCAAGCAGGGAUUUGUCCCAUCUCCAUUGCUUCAAUCUUUAUCCAAAGGUUAAUUGUGGAUGAAACCGAAUGAAACAGCUUUGAAGGGAACUGUGGGGAAGGCCAGAGGAAGGGAAGGAGUUUGGAGCCAUUUGGAUGUGUCAAAUGUAUUCAAAAUGAGAGGCACCCGGAACAUCGAACCCUUGGUGGUUAUCUUCAAACUUGAUGAAGGUGCAGAGGUCCCUGGAGAUGAGAGAAGCACCUCUCUUUGAAGAGGAGACUUAAUAUUAAAAAAAAAGGUUAGAAAAAACCCUGAAUAAUCAUCUUAAUCUAAAUUCCCUGAAAUAGGCUGGAGGAAAGGCUUAAAUGAGCAACUUGUAAAAGGAUGAAUAAAAUCAAAGAACAUGGGUUUGUCAAGAGCCAGUCAUGUCAACCCAAUUUAAUUUCCUUUUUUGAUAAGGGAACAGGAGGACCUGAUGAUGGGGAGCAGAAAACACACGAGUGGGGAGGACUUUUGCAUUUUCCCACUGAAAAAACACCCUCUAAAUCCAAUCAGAGCCCAGCUGGCAGAGAAACCACUCCUGAAGAGAAGAGAUCAGGGGACAGGGAGGCUCUCCAGCCCCCACCUUGGCUCUAGAGGAGGGGCCGUCACCCUUCCUGUCCAUCCUGCCUUUCUCCAGCCUGGUGAUCCCCAGCUUUGCCCAGGAAAACUGAGACUAAACCCUUGUUAUGCUGAUUUUUAGCUUCUUGUGCUGGUUUAUCCUUCAUUUCCCCACACUAGCAGCAUCCCCAUGAGCGUUUCAGUAGAACCACCUGGAUGCAGCUCUAUCCCAUAUUAACCCGGGAUAAUGCUGGCAUGGAGCCGGGCAGAUGCUUUUGGUGGUGCUUCAGUGACUCCAACCCGUUUGGAAAAGGUGCAAAUCCCUACAAAAACAGCCUGGGAAGGCUGAGUGGGAGUGUGGAGGCUCUUCUGCUCCACCCCGGGAUGGACAGAUGGACUGAGGGAUGGGGACUCCUGCACGCCCCAGCCAGGGGCUUUGGGAGCUGCAGGAGUGGCUGCUGCAGGAUGGCAGGAGUGGAAGCUUUUGAUAUAGUUUCAAACAGUGUGUAAUUAUCAGGUAGCUGAAAAUUAGCCCAUCUGUGCCUCUGGAAAAGACAAUGGGAAGUUGUGUGUUACUAAUGGCUGAAAAGCGCUGGCAGCACAAGACAGGAAAUUCUCAGGCAACUUUUUUCUGCAGGUAAUGUAAUUACACGGCAUAAUCCCCAAAUCUCCUGACUUUUUGGAGGGGUUUGAUAAAAGCUUAGGAGGUCUUCAUCUCCCUUUCUGCUUGCUCUCCUCGCUGCGGCAGCACAGCUCUGGGGAUUGCGGGCCUGCCUGGGCAGCAGCAGAUGUGGGUGACACAAAACUGCCUUCAAACACCCAGCUAAAGACAAUCUCAGGUUUUGCUAAAGCAGAUUGUAAAUUCCCACCUGCCUGUGCCACAGCCUCGCUCUCUGAAUGCAGAGCACAGAGCUUGUAACAUAAUUUUGGGUAAAAUCUCCUUGCCCGUAGAGUCGGUCAGGGCCUGAUCCAGGUCAGUGCACACACAAGCAGCAGCUUGGGUCAGAUUUAGAACCCCUUUUGUUUCCUCUGCUUUUGGGCCUUGCUGAUGGGGAAAAAAAAAAAGAAAAUCCCCCAAGCCCCCUGAUUUCUUUAAAUGGCUCGAGGAUCCGGUGAUGAGGUCUUUGAGGGUCGGUGAAGCAAAGCUGGAAUGGCACAAACCUCAUGCAAACAGUCCAGGCAGGGUAAAUAGCUGAUGAUUUUUUAUAUUCAUACUUUUGUCUGAGGAAUAACUGAGAGCAAAUUGCUUUUCCCUUGCCUAGUUGGAAUUAUUCAGAGGGGUUUUUUCUGCUGAUUUUUGCUAUUCUCCCUUCCGAGAGGUUCGCUGCCGAAGACAGCUCAGCCCUGAAUGGAAAGCAAACGUUGCCUUCACCUUCAGUGAACUCUGAAAGGAUUGAUUUUCACCAGGCAUGAAAGAAAAGCUGGGAAGUGACAGCUCGUGGACUUUGGGGAGGGCGAACGUUGCCGUUUCACGCCCGUUGGUGCAGCAGGACUCGGGGCAUCCCAGCACACGUUCGACAGAAGCUCCUUGGGCUCAUCCAGCCCCAGCCUCUCCCACACGGGAGGUCCUGGCCCGGCAGACGCUUUAAGCAGCACAGAACGGGGAGGAAAACGAUUCUUGCUGGCUUUUGUCUGGUAAUCUGAGGUCAGGAAAGCAAAGUGCUUCCUCUCAGCUCUCCCCAGCGCCGUGGUGGGAAAUGCAGCCAAGCUCCAGCGCCGAGAACAAAGCCAGAGCUGGCACAAACACAGCAGCUCCUUAAAUGAAUUUGCCAUUAGCCGGAAGGGCUGCAAACUGAAGCGAAGAUAAGCCCCUUAGCAUUUCCCUUCUUUAAUCCCAGCCUCAUAAAAGCAGAGAUGUGUACCUAUUCAGCGGGCUUUAUACAGAGGCAGGUAUUUCAUUUACCCAAAAAACCCCUGGAUCGGAUAAAUUAUUAAUGUUAUUUAUAAAGGCAAUUCUGCCAUUCAGCAACUUC